GCACACCUAGGAGCGCCCCAGCUGGACCCGCACAUCCCCGAGCCCCUGAAAAGCGUCUCUAUGCCUUUGUUGGCAGCUGUGAAAGCGGCUUUUUUCCUCCUUAACAUCUGUGCCUCGCCGGGCUCCGGCGGCUGCGGGAGGGAAAAUUCAUCCUUUGUUGCUCCUCCGCCGUUUCUUUGCCGGGGUUGGGAUGGAAGAAAAUCAGCUCGUUUUUCUUCAAAUCAGCUCGUUUUUCUUCCUGCCCUUCCUGUUUACGGCCACGCUGGGGGUUCUUGGGCGCUGCUCGGACUCGAAUUCCCCCUGCUGCUCUCAAAAGACGAUUCCGGCUGUAAAACCAACCCAGCGGUUAUAAACCCCAAAGUUGUCUCCCACAAUUAAAGAAUAGAAAAGAAAUCCUCGGUUCACGUUACAAAGACGGGCUCAUAGAAAACCAAGCCAACGGAACAGAAACACCCAAGGUCCUGGAGCGCCGUGCCCGGCUCCUGUGGAGCCCGCGGAGGGAGGCUCUUCCCGAGAGUUUUAAUGCCAGGGAGCUCUUCCUGCUGGGUUUGGGAAAGGUUGGGGAAAGGGGAGUGGCUGCCUGUCCAUCCCAUCCCAUCCCAUCCCAUCCCAUCCCAUCCCAUCCCAUCCCAUCGGAGCAUCCUUGGUCCUGGAGAGGAAAAU